rnacentral:rRNA from 1 species
UACGAAGGGAGCUAGCGUUGUUCGGGAUCACUGGGCGUAAAGCGCACGUAGGCGGAUGUGUCAGUCAGGGGUGAAAUCCCGGAGCUCAACUUCGGAACUGCCUUUGAUACAGCACGUCUUGAGUCCGGAAGAGGUGGGUGGAAUUCCUAGUGUAGAGGUGAAAUUCGUAGAUAUUAGGAAAGAACACCGGUGGCGAAGGCGGCCCACUGGUCCGGUACUGACGCUGAGGUGCGAAAGCGUGGGGAUCAAACAGG